ACUCAAAUGAAUAGACGGGGGCCCGCACAAGCAGCGGAGCGUGUGGUUUAAUUCGAUGCAACGCGCAGAACCUUACCUGGGCUUGACAUGGCCUCGCAAACCGUGGAAACACGGUCCUCCUUCGGGACGGGGUCACAGAUGUUGCAUGGCUGUCGUCAGCUCGUGUCGUGAGAUGUUGGGUUAAGUCCCGCAACGAGCGCAACCCUCGUGCCGUGUUGUACUUUUCACGGCAGACCGCCCUCAAAAGGGGAGGAAGGUGGGGAUGACGUCAAGUCCGCAUGGCUCUUACGUCCAGGGCGACACACACGCUACAAUGGCCGGGACAAUGCGCAGCCACGGGGCGACCCGGAGCGAAUCGCUGAAACCCGGUCUCAGUUCGGAUGGCAGGCUGCAACUCGCCUGCCUGAAGGCGGAGUUGCUAGUAACCGCGUGUCAGCACAGCGCGGUGAAUAUGUUCCCGGGCCUUGUACACACCGCCCGU
rnacentral:rRNA from 1 species